rnacentral:rRNA from 1 species
UUCCAGACUCCUACGGGAGGCAGCAGUGGGGAAUAUUGCACAAUGGGGGGAACCCUGAUGCAGCGACGCCGCGUGAGUGAAGAAGUAUUUCGGUAUGUAAAGCUCUAUCAGCAGGGAAGAAAAUGACGGUACCUGACUAAGAAGCCCCGGCUAACUACGUGCCAGCAGCCGCGGUAAUACGUAGGGGGCAAGCGUUAUCCGGAUUUACUGGGUGUAAAGGGAGCGUAGACGGUAGACCAAGUCUGAAGUGAAAGCCCGCGGCUCAACUGCGGGACUGCUUUGGAAACUGUUCAACUGGAGUGCUGGAGAGGUAAGCGGAAUUCCUAGUGUAGCGGUGAAAUGCGUAGAUAUUAGGAGGAACACCAGUGGCGAAGGCGGCCUGCUGGACGAUAACUGACGUUGAGGCUCGAAAGCGUGGGGAGCAAACAGGAUUAGAUACCCCAGUAGA